rnacentral:tRNA from 1 species
GGAGGGGUGGCAGAGUGGACGAAUGCGGCGGUCUUGAAAACCGCUAGGGGCCAACCCGGUCCCUCGUGGGUUCGAAUCCCACCCCCUCCG